ncrna:Prevotella sp. F0091 lysM-Prevotella RNA
CCGUUAGAAAGGGGCAUGAAAAUCGGUCCCGUGCCUAUAAGGCAUCAGAGUUUGAAAUAAAAUAAC